GAGGCCCGCCGGCCCAGCAGAGGGCGCCCACCAAUCUGCACGCGGGCCCAGCGAGUUAUCUUGAUUUCGGCCAAGCUUUCUGACUGCUCCAAAAAACGAAGAAAAAGAUUCAGGGAGAGUAAGAGGAUGAAGAGAGCUGGUGAAGCAGCUGACCAAAUGGCCCGAGGACAGGACCAACCCUCUGCCCCCGGCUCAGGCCAGAGCUCGGCGAGACCGUCGCUGUUUAACAAGCAUUUGCUAUACGCCACCUUGCAUUAUGACAGCAUGUGACCCACACAGCCAUCCUAGGAAGCAGUUCUCAAGUCACCAAUGGGUAAAAGGCUUCAGUGAUCCACUCCUACAGCCAAAAGGCACUGCUCGGUCUCUUCAGCCUCAGAUGGUUCACUCCUGGAAACAUUUUUCCACUUGGCUUCAUGACACCACAGUCCUGGUCUUUCUCGUCCCAGGUAAGGAGAGUCCUGGUCUUUGUCAACCCAGGUGGCCACUAUUACUUUGUCGUCUUAAUAUUCAGUUCUGGAUCUCUUCUUAUUCUAUACCCUUCCUAGGCACUGUCCCCUCCCACAGCCUCCUUCUCACCUUUUCCAUAACCAUGUCUAGGCCCGGCAGCCCCACAUUUACCACUUGCACACCAGACCUUAUAAUUCCAGGCCUGAAUAUCCACCUGCCCAGGGACACUCCCACUUGGAUGUCCCGAGCACCUCCAUUUUGCCAUGUCUGAAACAGAAUUCAGCAUCAGUUCCUCACAACUGGUCUUCUACAGACUUCCCCAGUAAUCCCUCAACCCACCUGCCAAUAUUUAAGCUGUUUGUAAGCCACUCAUGCAAACAUUCAAUAACCCAACUACGUGUCAUAGAUUGGUCUGAACACCUAGCUGUUAACAUAAAGAUGAGCAUAAAAGACAAAACCCCUGCCCUAUUGAAGCUAGUUCAGUAAUCACACACAUUCCAACCGUGGUAUAUGAGGUGGAGAAGAGGUACAAAGGAAAACGAGAGGGUACCACAGGACUUGACUGAGUGUGGCAGGCCACGGAUGGCUCCCUGACACAGUAACCUUAAGUAACACAUCCUGAGGCUGAGCAGGAAUUCAUUAGGUGGAGACAGGGAGCGAACUCCUGCAGAGAGGAAAGAGGGGCAGAAAGCCUGGCACUCACUGGCACUGUCGAUUCCCCACAUGACCUUUCAAUCCCUUGCCUCUUGAGAGGAACCAUCUCUGCUUUGCUCAUCACUGUUUCCUUGAUGCUGAGUAAAACAUGACUCACAGGAAGGAUGCAAAAACUACAAAAAUGGAGGCCUCACUCCACUACUCCAUUCUGUGACAUAAGCCACGUCAACUCUUUCAACACUCUGGCACCACUUUCAACACUCUGGUACUAGAAUAACUCAGUGUUCUAAUAUGUAAAAUGUAAAUGCUUGCCUUGCAAACCUGCUGAGAAGCAAAUCCAUUAUUUAAUGAAUAAAAAGCACUUGAUAAAAGCACUAUUCCCAAAAUUAAGAAUUAAAUUAUGAGAGAUCUUCAACAGACCAAAAACAAAUGUUCACAGUCCCUGCUUUAUUUCCAUUUGUUCACACACGCUUUAAAAAAAAAAAAAAAAACACAUGCACUCACAC
rnacentral:lncRNA from 10 species